rnacentral:rRNA from 1 species
GAUGAACGCUGACAGAAUGCUUAACACAUGCAAGUCAACUUGAAUUUGGGUUUUUAACUUAGGUUUGGGUGGCGGACGGGUGAGUAACGCGUAAAGAACUUGCCUCACAGCUAGGGACAACAUUUGGAAACGAAUGCUAAUACCUACUAUUAUGAUAAUAGGGCAUCCUAUAAUUAUGAAAGCUAUAAGCGCUGUGAGAGAGCUUUGCGUCCCAUUAGCUAGUUGGAGAGGUAACGGCUCACCAAGGCGAUGAUGGGUAGCCGGCCUGAGAGGGUGAUCGGCCACAAGGGGACUGAGACACGGCCCUUACUCCUACGGGAGGCAGCAGUGGGGAAUAUUGGACAAUGGACCGAGAGACUGAUCCAGCAAUUCUGUGUGCACGAUGAAGUUUUUCGGAAUGUAAAGUGCUUUCAGUUGGGAAGAAACAAAUGACGGUACCAACAGAAGAAGUGACGGCUAAAUACGUG